GGACAUGAUUAUAUGGACUUAGCCAAUACAGUUUAUCAUCAAUAGACGACGGCCUUCGCCGAUUUCGUUGGCGAACGAAACCCUAAUCAUCACUCCUUCCUCACUUUUUGUUCGUCAUCUCCAGAAUUUGACUCUGCAAUUUCUUGUUUUUUCUCUCUAUUCUGCUCGAUAACUUUCGUCGCUCACCAUGGAUGCUCAACGAGCUCUUUUGGACGAACUUAUGGGUGCAGCUCGUAAUUUGACCGAUGAAGAGAGAAGAGGUUUUAAGGAGAUUAAGUGGGACGAUAGAGAGGUCUGUGCAUUCUAUAUGGUUCGAUUUUGUCCUCAUGACCUCUUCGUCAACACCAAAAGCGAUCUUGGAGCAUGCUCGAGAAUUCAUGAUCCAAAGCUUAAAGAGAGCUUCGAGAAUUCUCCGAGGCAUGAUUCAUAUGUUCCUAAAUUCGAGGCUGAGCUUGUUCAGUUUUGCGAGAAGCUGGUGAAUGAUCUUGACAGGAAGGUAAGGCGUGGACGAGAACGCCUUGCGCAAGAUAUUGAACCUCCUCCACCACCUUCUCUAUCUACAGAAAAGGCUGAACAGUUGUCUGUUCUGGAGGAAAAAGUUAAGAACCUUCUGGAACAAGUGGAAGCACUUGGUGAAGAAGGCAAAGUCGAUGAAGCUGAAGCGCUAAUGAGGAAGGUUGAAGUGCUUAAUACCGAGAAGACAGUGUUGCUACAACGACCAAAUGACAAGGUAUUAGCGAUGGCACAGGAGAAAAAGAUGGCACUGUGUGAGGUUUGUGGUUCAUUCCUUGUGGCUAAUGAUGCUGUAGAAAGGACUCAGUCUCAUGUCACUGGGAAGCAGCAUGUUGGCUAUGGCAUGGUCCGUGAUUUUCUUGCUGAACAAAAAGCUGCUAAAGAUAAAGGAACGGAAGAAGAAAAGCAAGUCAGAGGAAAAGAAGCAGACGAUAAGAGGAAACCUAGGGAGAAGGAAAGCGAGGUUAAGAGGAGUGGUUCUAGUGAUAGAGAAAGAUAUCGUGAUAGGGAUCGAGACAGAGAUGGUGACAGACACAGAGACCGUGGUAGAGAUCAUAGAAAGUCUUAUGACAGGAGAUCAAGGAGUGGGAGAGAAGGUCGUCAUGAUCGAAGCAGGUCACGGUCUCCUCAUGGAAGGUCUGGUCACAGAAGAGUAUCGAGAAGCCCCAUUCGACAGUACUAGUUUGAGAUGAAAACGUGUUGUCUCUGUGGAGCCCCAGGAACUUUGCAAACACUCAUGAGCUAUUCUAAGAGUUUGAAACAUCAUCGGUUAUUUGUUAAGAGGUCAAAAGCGUUGAGACUACAGAAUCGGGAAUAUUGGGGCUCGAAUGACACAUAUACUAUUUGAGGUAACAAAUAUAUGACAGAACUCAUCCUCAUUAGAAGUUGGGUUCAGUUUUUAGUUUGAAUUUUGUUUGUUUUCUUCGAGUUCUCUCUCUGUCUGCACUUAGGUGUAUACGCAGGAGGAACAGUAAUCUUUGGCUAUGGCUUCGAUGACAGUAUCCUCCAAAUCAGCAAAUGGCACCAUUUCGUUUGUCUUCCUCGAAAUCUUUUCAUUAAUGCAAUUUAGUAAAGAGAGACAAAACUUUUCUACUAUCUGUA